CAUGGUUUUUUGUUUAUAAUUUAAAAUUUAAUCUGCUCAAUGAAUACUUAAAUUGCCGCAGUAUUUUAACUGUGCAAAGGUAGCAUAAUAAUUAGUUUCUUGAUUAGAAGCUGGAAUGAAUGAUUGGACGAUAAAAUAACUGUCUCUAUUUAAUUAUUUAAUUAAUUUUAUUUUUAAGUUAAAAAGCUUAAAUUUUAUUAAAAGACGAGAAGACCCUAUAGAGUUUAAUAAUAAAAAUAUUAAUUAUUUUGGAAUUGAGUUAAUAUUAUAUUAUUUAGUUGGGGUGACUUAGAAAUUUGAAGAAUUUUUUAAAAUUAAAAUUUUUAAUAAGAAAGUUUAUAAUCUAUUUUUUUAAAAUUAAAAUAAAUUACCUUAGGGAUAACAGCGUAAUUUUUCUUUAAAGUUCAUAUUAAAAGGAAAGUUUGCGACCUCGAUGUUGGAUUAAAAUUAAUUUUAGGUGCAGUAACUUAAAAAUUAAGUCUGUUCGACUUUUAGAAUU
rnacentral:rRNA from 1 species